UCAGUGGCCGAGUGGAUAACGCGAUGGUGUUUGAAGCGAAAUGUACUGGGUUCGAGUCCCAGAGUGA
rnacentral:tRNA from 1 species